rnacentral:rRNA from 1 species
CCUACGGGUGGCCGCAGUGAGGAAUAUUGGUCAAUGGGCGCGAGCCUGCACCAGCCAAGUAGCGUGAAGGAUGACUGCCCUACGGGUUGUAAACUUCUUUUAUAAAGGAAUAAAGUGAGGCACGUGUGCCUUUUUGUAUGUAUUUUAUUCAUAAGGAUCGGCUAACUCCGUGCCAGCAGCCGCGGUAAUACGGAGGAUCCGAGCGUUAUCCGGAUUUAUUGGGUUUAAAGGGAGCGUAGAUGGGUUGUUCAGUCAGUUGUGAAAGGUUGCGGCUCACCCGUAAAAUUGCAAUUGAUACUGGCAGCAUUGAGUACAGUUGAGGUAGGCGGAAUUCGUGGGGUAGCGGUGAAAUGCGUAGAUAUCAAGAAGAACGCCGAUUGCGAAGGCAGCCUACUAAACUGCCACUGACAUUGAUGCUCGAAGGUGUGGGUAGCAAACAGGAUUAGAUACUCUUGUAGUC